AAGUAAAAGUCGUAACAAGGUAUCUGUAGGUGAACCUGCAGAUGGAUCAUUUCGAUGAAAACCUUUUUUCUUGAGGUGUGGCUCGCACCUGUCUAACUAAAUCGAGCUACCACAUUUUAACACGGUUGCAUCGGUUGGCUGUCAAACAGUGCGCGCGGCGAUUUAUUUCGCCUCCCCGCGCAUUGCUGGAAGUAACAGUCGUAACAAGGUCUCCGUUGGUGAACCAGCGGAGGGAUCAUUGCUGAGUGUAAAAACUCCCAACCCUUUGUGAACAUACCUCUGUUGCUUCGKCGGAUGCGCCCCGGGCGCGCCUCCUAGGAGGCGUGCCCCGGAACCAGGCGCCCGCCGGGGGACCUACAAACUCUUGUAUUCCUAGCGGAUCUCUGAGUGUGAUUUAAACAAAUCAAAUCAAAACUUUCAACAACGGAUCUSUUGGCUCUAGCAUCGAUGAAGAACGCAGCGAAAUGCGAUAAGUAAUGCGAAUUGCAKAAUUCRGUGAAUCAUCKAAUCUUUGAACGCACAUUGCGCCCGCUAGUAUUCUGGCGGGCAUGCCUGUCUGAGCGUCAUUUCAACCCUCGUCCCCCGUCUAGGCGRGAGGGCGGUGUUGGGGAUGGGCCUGCCUCCGGGCCGGCCCGCCCCUAAAUGUASUGGCGACCACGCCGUAGCCUCCUCUGCGWASUAGUAACUCACCUCGCGSGCRGAGAGCGGUGCGGCCUGCCGUAAAACCCCCUACUUUCUCAAGGUUGACCUCACAUCAGGUAGGAAUACCCGCUGAACUUAAGCAUAUCAUGUAAGCGGAGGAAAAUAUCAGGACUUCGGAGAGGAGAGGCGCAGGGUCGAGGAGCUGGACGCGACGUUUUGCUGGUUGGAGUGCUUCUGAACCCCGCCCAUGCCUCGCUUCUUUGGAAGAGAGGAAGGGAUUUAAUUUCAAUUCAUCGGCCUCAGAUUGGUAGGACUACCCGCUGAACUUAAGCAUAUCAAUAAGCGGAGG
rnacentral:rRNA from 1 species